UACGUAGGGGGCAAGCGUUGUCCGGAUUUAUUGGGCGUAAAGAGCUCGUAGGCGGUUUGGUAAGUCUGGUGUGAAAUCUCCACGCUCAACGUGGAGGGGCCACCCGAUACUGCCAUGACUGGAGUCCGGUAGAGGAGUGUGGAAUUCCCGGUGUAGCGGUGAAAUGCGCAGAUAUCGGGAGGAACACCCGUAGCGAAGGCGGGUCUCUGGACAGUUCCUGACGCUGAGGCACGAAGGUCAGGGGAGCAAACGGG
rnacentral:rRNA from 1 species